rnacentral:rRNA from 1 species
AGUGAACGCUGGCGGUAGGCCUAACACAUGCAAGUCGAACGGCAGCACAGUAAGAGCUUGCUCUUACGGGUGGCGAGUGGCGGACGGGUGAGGAAUACAUCGGAAUCUACUUUUUCGUGGGGGAUAACGUAGGGAAACUUACGCUAAUACCGCAUACGACCUACGGGUGAAAGCAGGGGAUCUUCGGACCUUGCGCGAUUGAAUGAGCCGAUGUCGGAUUAGCUAGUUGGCGGGGUAAAGGCACACCAAGGCGACGAGCCGUAGCUGGUCUGAGAGGAUGGUCAGCCACACUGGAACGGAGACACGGCCCAGACUCCUACGGGAGGCAGCAGUGGGGAAUAUUGGACAAUGGGCGCAAGCCUGAUCCAGCCAUACCGCGUGGGUGAAGAAGGCCUUCGGGUUGUAAAGCCCUUUUGUUGGGAAAGAAAAGCAGCAGGUUAAUACCCCGCUGUUCUGACGGUACCCAAAGAAUAAGCACCGGCUAACUUCGUG